rnacentral:rRNA from 1 species
GUGAGGAAUAUUGGACAAUGGGCGCAAGCCUGAUCCAGCCAUGCCGCGUGCAGGAAGACGCAUCUAUGGUGUGUAAACUGCUUUUGUACGGGAAGAAACACUCCCUCGUGAGGGAGCUUGACGGUACCGUAAGAAUAAGGAUCGGCUAACUCCGUGCCAGCAGCCGCGGUAAUACGGAGGAUCCAAGCGUUAUCCGGAAUCAUUGGGUUUAAAGCGUCCGUAGGCGGUUUAAUAAGUCAGUGGUGAAAGCCCAUCGCUCAACGAUGGAACGGCCAUUGAUACUGUUAGACUUGAAUUACAAGGAAGUAACUAGAAUAUGUAGUGUAGCGGUGAAAUGCUUAGAUAUUACAUGGAAUACCAAUUGCGAAGGCAGGUUACUACUUGUGGAUUGACGCUGAUGGACGAAAGCGUGGGGAGCGAACAGGAUUAGAUACCCGAGUAGUCC